AUACAGCUGGGGUGGGUGCUAGACAGGAUGUUCCUGGUUCUAGGAGCUGGCAAUGUGGCCUAGCAGGUAGCGGGCUCGCCCAGCAUGCACAAAGCCUGAGCCUAGCCCCAGCACCACGUGGUGUGGUGCACACCUGCAGUCCAGUACUCAGGAGGUGGAGGCAGGAGGAACGGGGCUCAGUCUCCGCAUGGCACCCAGGGGUCACCUUUUCCUCUCUCGUUGGAUAGCCAUGGACUUGGGAAAGAGGCCUCUCUUGGCCAGGGCUGGCCACUUGUUGCGCCAGGCUUCUGUGACCCACUUCUGAAUAAAGGGCCGAGCCCAGCCCUGGCCCUGGAGGAGCUCAGGCCCUGACAGCAGGCACUGUCUGUGCACCCACUGUGUGUGUGUGUGUACCAGGUAGUGCUCCACGUGCUGGGCACACAACUGGGAUCAAAAUGACCCCGCAGAUGUUGCUCUGCUUGCCCACAGAGCCUUCCCUGCCUCCGAUGCCAGGUUCCAGCAACAGAAACGGAGUGGGAAAUGUUUUUCUAUCAAAGGAUCUGCCACCAUGACAGCUACACAUUUCUGAGUGUCCUGGCCUCUAAGGGGACGGUGCUCUCAGCUGGUGAACCCUCAGGAGAAUCCACAUGUGCAACUCAGUAGAAUUCUCUAGAUGAUUCUCAAGCCAUGGUGUGGCUGGGUGGAGGAUGUCUCACUUUUCCCUGAAAAUUCUAAGCCCAGAGACACACACAGGGGCGUCCUGUCAUGGGGAUUCAUGGGAAAUGAGUUUGGAGUGCUAAGCUGAGCCAGGCUCUGGGGUGGCCGGAUGUUGUGCUAUGCACUGGAGAGUUAGCUGCUCUGUGCUGUGUGCACGCUCUGGAUAAGGAGCAGAGCUGAUCUGGAGCCCCGACAUAGCCUGGAGCUGGGAAUGUUACAAGGAAGAUAAACUAGAAACAGCUGAGUCCCAGGGGCAGUCUUGGGGAUGGAGGGACAGAGGAUCUAGGGAGGUCCCGGCUGGGUCCCUUGCCUGUUGCCCCAUGAGUGACAGCAGCACUCCCCCACCUCCAGGGGUGAACUGGCUCCAGGGUGAAUCCAGCCUUGUUAGAACGAGGUGUUUGAAGGUUUAAUCAGGCUGAGAACCUCACAGAGACAGCAUCCUGGAACCGGGUGACUGAGCCCAGCAACUGCGCACUCAGAAGCGAAGAGGAACAGACGAUGAGAGGGGAGCUGCCUGAGCACAUAGGAGACAGAAGAGGACUGCGUGAGGAUGGAGGCGGAUGAUGGAGUGGCUAGAGCAAGGCUUCUGGAAGAAUGCAAACACUGCCUGGGCCAAAGCUGUGUGACCCCAGGGAAGCCGGACGUCCUCUCUGGGCUUCAGUCUCCUUGUCUUGGAGACAAAUGAUUUAGUCCAUGUAGAAUUCACAGAAAAGAGCCUUUCCCAGGCUAAGCCCCCAAAUAAAACAGCCAUUUGAUCA